rnacentral:rRNA from 1 species
GAUGAACGCUGGCGGCGUGCCUAAUACAUGCAAGUCGAGCGGUAAGGUUUCCACUCUGUACUUAAAUACUUGAGUAUAGUGUGGAAAUACACGAGCGGCGGACGGCUGAGUAACACGUAGGAACGUACCCCAAAGUGAGGGAUAAGCGUCGGAAACGACGUCUAAUACCGCAUGUGAUCUUCGGAUUAAAGCUUCGGCGCUUUGGGAACGGCCUGCGCAUGAUUAGCUUGUUGGUGAGGUAAUGGCUCACCAAGGCGAUGAUCAUUAGCUGGUCUGAGAGGAUGACCAGCCAGACUGGGACUGAGAACGGCCCAGACUCCUACGGGAGGCAGCAGUAGGGAAUCUUCCACAAUGGGCGAAAGCCUGAUGGAGCAACGCCGCGUGCAGGAUGAAGGCUUUCGGGUCGUAAACUGCUUUUAUCUGUGACGAUAAUGACGGUAGCAGAUGAAUAAGGAUCGGCUAACUCCGUGCCAGCCGCCGCGGUAAAAC